rnacentral:rRNA from 1 species
AACGAACGCUGGCGGCGCGCCUAAUACAUGCAAGUCGAGCGAGAAGACGUAGCAAUACGUUUGUAAAGCGGCGAACGGGUGAGGAAUACAUGGGUAACCUACCCUCGAGUGGGGAAUAACUAGCCGAAAGGUUAGCUAAUACCGCGUACGCUCCUUGGACUUCGGUUCAGGGAGGAAAGCGAUACCGUGGGUAUCGCGCUCUUGGAUGGGCUCAUGUCCUAUCAGCUUGUUGGUGAGGAACGGCUCACCAAGGCUUCGACGGGUAGCUGGUCUGAGAGGACGAUCAGCCACACUGGCACUGCGACACGGGCCAGACUCCUACGGGAGGCAGCAGUGGGGAAUCUUGCGCAAUGGGCGAAAGCCUGACGCAGCGACGCCGCGUGAGGGAUGACGGCC